AGGGACCCAUGCCUCUGCUAGUUUCCCUAGUAACCCACGAGGUCAAUUCUGGCUGGCAUAUAUUUAGGUAAUUGACACCUUCCCCCUCCCCACAAGAGAGAAGACUGUCCAGGCUCAGCGUCUGGCUGCACACAAUGGGGAGACGCUCCAGGACCUGGAGUCAGACAGGGUUAACAAGAAGAGAUUAUAGAAUAACAGUCAGCUUCUGUGAUGAUGUUUGCAAAGAACAUUUUGUUAGUGUGUGCUAAGUCGCUUCAGUCAUGUCUGACCCUUUAUGACCCUAU